rnacentral:rRNA from 1 species
ACGCUCGACACCUACGGAGGCAGCAGUAGGGAAUCUUCCGCAAUGGACGAAAGUCUGACGGAGCAACGCCGCGUGAACGAUGAAGGUUUUCGGAUCGUAAAGUUCUGUUGUUAGGGAAGAACAAACUUCGUUUGAAUAAGGCGGAGUCAUGACGGUACCUAACGAGAAAGCCACGGCUAACUACGUGUCAGCGGCCGCGGUAAUCUGAGCGGGCUGGCAAGGC